CGCCUCGUAGCUCAGCUGGUAAGAGCGCCGCUCUGAUAAAGCGGAGGUCACAGGUUCAACUCCUGUCGGGGCGACCA
rnacentral:tRNA from 1 species